rnacentral:rRNA from 1 species
GACGAACGCUGGCGGAGGGAGGAACACAGGCAAGUCGAACGGAAAGGCCCUGCUUUUGUGGGGUGCUCGAGUGGCGAACGGGUGAGUAACACGUGAGUAACCUGCCCGUGACUUUGGGAUAACUUCAGGAAACUGGGGCUAAUAACGGAUAGGAGCGCCUGCUGCAUGGUGGGGGUUGGAAAGUUUCGGCGGUUGGGGAUGGACUCGCGGCUUAGCAACUUGUUGGUGGGGUAGUGGCUUACCAAGGCUUUGACCGGGAGCCGGCCUGAGAGGGUGACCGGCCACAUUGGGACUGAGCUACGGCCCAGACUCCUACGGGAGGCAGCAGUGGGGAAUAUUGCACAAUGGGCGGAAGCCUGAUGCAGCAACGCCGCGUGCGGGAUGACGGCCUUCGGGUUGUAAACCGCUUUCGCCUGUGACGAAGCGUGAGUGACGGUAAUGGGUAAAGAAGCACCGGCUAACUACGUG